AUACGUAGGGGGCGAGCGUUGUCCGGAAUGAUUGGGCAUAAAGGGCGCGUAGGCGGCCCGGUAAGUCUGGAGUGAAAGUCCUGUUUUUAAGAUGGGAAUUGCUUUGGAUACUGUCGGGCUUGAGUGCAGGAGAGGUAAGUGGAAUUCCCAGUGUAGCGGUGAAAUGCGUAGAGAUUGGGAGGAACACCAGUGGCGAAGGCGACUUACUGGACUGUAACUGACGCUGAGGCGCGAAAGUGUGGGGAGCAAACAGGAUUAGAUACCCUGGUAGUCCACACUGUAAACGAUGAAUGCUAGGUGUAGGGGGUAUCGACCCCUUCUGUGCCGCAGUCAACACAAUAAGCAUUCCGCCUGGGGAGUACGGCCGCAAGGUUGAAACUCAAAGGAAUUGACGGGG
rnacentral:rRNA from 1 species